rnacentral:rRNA from 5 species
GAGUCUUAACCGGGCGUUAAGUUGCAGGGUAUAGACCCGAAACCCGGUGAUCUAGCCAUGGGCAGGUUGAAGGUUGGGUAACACUAACUGGAGGACCGAACCGACUAAUGUUGAAAAAUUAGCGGAUGACCUGUGGCUGGGGGUGAAAGGCCAAUCAAACCGGGAGAUAGCUGGUUCUCCCCGAAAGCUAUUUAGGUAGCGCCUCGUGAAUUCAUCUCCGGGGGUAGAGCACUGUUUCGGCUAGGGGGCCAUCCCGGCUUACCAACCCGAUGCAAACUGCGAAUACCGGAGAAUGUUAUCACGGGAGACACACGGCGGGUGCUAACGUCCGUCGUGAAGAGGGAAACAACCCAGACCGCCAGCUAAGGUCCCAAAGUCAUGGUUAAGUGGGAAACGAUGUGGGAAGGCCCAGACAGCCAGGAUGUUGGCUUAGAAGCAGCCAUCAUUUAAAGAAAGCGUAAUAGCUCACUGGUCGAGUCGGCCUGCGCGGAAGAUGUAACGGGGCUAAACCAU